UAGUUGGAUUUGGGUCGACCGGGCCGCCGGGCCGCCGCCCCCGCGCGGCGAGUUCCCGUGCGUCCCCGGGACCGCACGUUCACCCCCGCGGUGCUCUUGACUGAGUGUCCGCGGUAGCGGGUGACCGAACGUUUACCUUGACAAAACCGGAGUGCUCGAGGCGUGGGCGUUUUCCGCCCGUACGUCCUCGCUGGGAAUAAUGGAAGAGGACCGUUGGUCAAAAAAGGUUUUUUGUCAAGAGAGGCGGAGAGCAAAAAAGGAGGUUGCGGUGGCGGGGGGUCAAAAGGGAAGGCGACUUCCUUUCCCCCUCUGCCUUUCCUCCUUCUCCUCCUCGAAACCUUCCUCCCCGCGUCCCGCGCCGGGACUCGGUCGGUGUCCGUCGGCGGAAAAGGGUGGUCUGAGAAAGAAGAGCGGAAACGGGCGGUCGUUUGUCGGAAGGCGAAAGCCGGACGGCCGAUCGUCCGAAGAAACUCGGAAUCUUAUUCUGCUCCGACCGUCGCGGCCCUUCCGUCUGUUCUCGGCGUCAGCGGGAGGAGGUCGAAAAUCAAAAUAAAAAUAACGUGUCAUGAUUAAGAGGGACGGCCGGGGGCAUUCGUACCGCGGCGCGAGAGGUGAAAUUCUAGGACCGUCGCGAGACGAACGAUAGCGAAAGCAUUUGCCAAGAAUGUUUUCCUUAAUCAAGAACGAAAGUCGGAGGUUCGAAGGCGAUCAGAUACCGCCCUAGUUCCGACCUUAAACCAUGCCGUCCGACCGCCCGCCAGGGUUACUACCGCGACUCGGCGGGCGGUGUCUUUCCACCGGGAAACCCUUAAGCUUUCGGGUUCCGGGGGAAGUACGGUCGCAAAGCUGAAACUUAAAGGAAUUGACGGAAGGGCACCACCAGGAGUGGAGCCUGCGGCUUAAUUUGACUCAACACGGGGAACCUCACCCGGCCCGGACACCGCGAGGAUUGACAGAUCGAUAGCUCUUUCUCGAUCCGGUGGGUGGUGGUGCAUGGCCGUUCUUAGUUGGUGGAGCGAUCUGUCUGGUUAAUUCCGAUAACGAACGAGACUCUAGCCGGUUAAGUAGCCCGAGUGGCGUGUUGUUGACCUAAAAACCGCCCCGGCGACGAGCGGGGUUCUUUCUCGAAGCGGUCUGGUUUGAGCGGCGAUGGGGAGAGAGCGGUGGUGGGAGGCGACGGUGCUGGCCGCGCGGGAGUCUCUUCGGAGGCGCCUUCACCGCGGCUCGUAUCCAGAGUCUUUCGCCUAAAACUUUCGCUCCGUCUCGUUUUGGACCUCUCAGCUUUCCUGAAACCUCCGUUUCGCUCGUCCGGGGUAGAAAAACGCUAACGAGAGUCGGGGGAGUGGUCGAUACUUGUGGAACGGGUAGGCGUACCUCACGGUGUGUCUCCCUUCCCGUUCUUCCGCUUUCCUCGUCGUCUCGCGCCACCGGCUUUCGAGUGCAAAAGCUUCUUAGAGGGACGAGCGGCGUUCAGCCGCGCGAGAUUGAGCGAUAACAGGUCUGUGAUGCCCUUAGAUGUCCGGGGCCGCACGCGCGCUACACUGAAGGGGUCAACGCGCCGUCACGUUUCCCGGGCCGAAAGGCUCGGGGAACCGGUGGAACCCCGACGUAGCGUUCGUGCUAGGGACAGGGACUUGCAAUUGUGUCCCUCCAACGAGGAAUUCCCAGUAGGCGCGAGUCAUCAGCUCGCGCCGAUUACGUCCCUGCCCUUUGUACACACCGCCCGUCGCUACUACCGAUCGAACGAUUUAGCGAGGUCUUCGGACCGGCGGCCGAAGGUGCGCGAGCGCCGGUGG
rnacentral:rRNA from 1 species